GACGAACGCUGGCGGCGUGCUUAACACAUGCAAGUCGAACGGAAAGGCCCUGCUUUUGUGGGGUGCUCGAGUGGCGAACGGGUGAGUAACACGUGAGUAACCUGCCCUUGACUUUGGGAUAACUUCAGGAAACUGGGGCUAAUACCGGAUAGGAGCUCCUGCUGCAUGGUGGGGGUUGGAAAGUUUCGGCGGUUGGGGAUGGACUCGCGGCUUAUCAGCUUGUUGGUGGGGUAGUGGCUUACCAAGGCUUUGACGGGUAGCCGGCCUGGGAGGGUGACCGGCCACAUUGGGACUGAGGUACGGCCCAGACUCCUACGGGGGGCAGCAGUGGGGAAUAUUGCACAGUGGGCGGAAGCCUGAUGCAGCAGCGCCGCGUGCGGGAUGACGGCCUUCGGGUUGUAAACCGCUUUCGCCUGUGACGAAGCGUGAGUGACGGUAAUGGGUAAAGAAGCACCGGCUAACUACGUG
rnacentral:rRNA from 1 species